rnacentral:rRNA from 1 species
AAUGGGUUGUAGCUGGCCUUACGAAGGCAUGUGCACACCCUGCUCAUCCACUCUCAUACCCCUGUGCACCUAUUGUAGGCUUGGGGGGAAGACUGGUGUCACAACCAGUCGGAAAGCCUUGCCUAUGUUUUAACACAAACGCUUCAGUUUUAGAAUGUCACAUUUGCGUCUAACGCAUGAAAUACAACUUUCAGCAACGGAUCUCUUGGCUCUCGCAUCGAUGAAGAACGCAGCGAAAUGCGAUAAGUAAUGUGAAUUGCAGAAUUCAGUGAAUCAUCGAAUCUUUGAACGCACCUUGCACUCCUUGGUAUUCCGAGGAGUAUGCCUGUUUGAGUGUCAUGGUAUUCUCAACCUCUAAAGCUUUUGCGAUAGAGGCUUGGAUGUGGAGGUCGUGUUGGCGCAAGUCAACUCCUCUGAAAUGCAUUAGUGUGAAUCUUACGGAUCGCCUCCAGUGUGAUAAGUAUCUACGCUGUGGUGUUGAAGUAUAUAGGCAUUCAUGCUUCUAAUCGUCUCUUCAUUGAGACAAUUACUUGACAAUCUGACCUCAAAUCAGGUAGGACUACCCGCUGAACUUAAGCAUAUCAAUAAGCGGAGGAAAAGAAACUAACAAGGAUUCCCCUAGUAACUGCGAGUGAAGCGGGAAAAGCUCAAAUUUAAAAUCUGGCAGUCUUUGGCUGUCCGAGUUGUAAUCUGGAGAAGCGUUUUCCGCGCUGGACCGUGUACAAGUCUCUUGGAACAGAGCGUCAUAGAGGGUGAGAAUCCCGUCUUUGACACGGACUACCAGUGCUUUGUGAUGCGCUUUCAAAGAGU